rnacentral:rRNA from 1 species
AUUGAACGCUGGCGGCAGGCCUAACACAUGCAAGUCGAGCGAGCGGCGGACGGGUGAGUAAUGUAUGGGGACUGCCCGAUAGAGGGGGAUAACCACUGGAAACGGUAGCUAAUAACGCAUACUAUCGGAUAACCCAUAUUGGAUUAGCUAGUUGGUGAGGUAAUGGAUCACCAAGGCGACGAUCCCUAGCUGGUCUGAGAGGCUGAUCAGCCACACUGGAACUGCGACACGGCCCAGACUCCUACGGAGGCAGCAGUGGGGAAUAUUGCACAAUGGGCGCAAGCCUGAGGCAGCCAAGCCGAGUGUAUGAAGAAGGCACUAGGAUUGUAAAGUACUUUCAGUCGGGAGGCGUUACCGACAGAAGAAGCACCGGCUAACUCCGUGCCAGCAGCCGCGGUAAUAC